GGUGCGAUCAUACCAGCACUAA
rnacentral:rRNA from 2 species